AAGCCACCGAGGCAGCAUCAGUGUCAUCAACCUCUGAUCCCACAGAGUUUGUCAAAACAGUGAAGGCUGCCUAGUAUUCAACAAAUUUGAUUUAGGAGAACUAUCUUAUCCCUCACCCAUUCUGAACAAGACCACUUUAGAUUCAAAAGUGGCAACGAUAAAAAAAAAACUCAAAGCCAAAGUGAAAAUCUUGGAUGGCCAAACUGAAGUUGAAUGCGAGAAGUAUUGAAGAGAAACAGGCGUGAAAAGGUGCUCUGCAAAGAGCUGAAGGUUUUCAGGUAAAAGACUAUGUGGAAUUGCUUGCCAAAUCAAUUAAUGAACGAGAUCAAAUCAGAAAGUAACAUAAAUUGCGCUGAACGAAACGAAGAAAAGGAAAAGAGAAAACAAUAACUACAGAAAAAAAGACAAACCAACAUUAAGAAAAAUUAAACUGAAAAGAAAGAACAUUAAGUGAAUAAACCAAAGAAAAACAGGCAAAUUUAUCGUAUGAAAUAAUGAU